GUCCUCUCAUUGACAGAAUCACUCAGCAACCAUGAGGUCUCUGAUCUUUGUUCUGCUCAUUGGAGCUGCUUUUGCCCUGGAUGACGACAAGAUCGUCGGAGGGUUUGA